AGCGUAGCUAGGAGGGGCAACGCUUUGAGGUCUAGUCAUCGGACCACGGGUGUCUGAGUUGUAAUCAAUUGCAUGGCCACACAACUGCUUAUCAGAAUCAGUUUCAUAUUCCUGUAGAUUAUAAGUCCUAGACGACGUUGACUGUCCAGACUGCAUUGCCCUAUUCACAUACCGCGUGAAGGCUGAAGUAUCAGAAUGGUUCAAUCUGCG
rnacentral:misc_RNA from 1 species